rnacentral:tRNA from 118 species
AAAUCCGUCGAAUUUUUAAAUCGUGAGGGUUCAAGUCCCUCUAUCCCCA